CUACGGGAUGCUCCAGUGAGGAAUAUUGCACAAUGGGGGGAACCCUGAUGCAGCAACGCCGCGUGGAGGAUGACGCAUUUCGGUGUGUAAACUCCUUUUAUAUGUCAAGAAAAUGACGGUAGCAUAUGAAUAAGCACCGGCUAACUCCGUGCCAGCAGCCGCGGUAAUACGGAGGGUGCAAGCGUUACUUGGAAUCACUGGGCGUAAAGGACGCGUAGGCGGGUUGGAAAGUCAGGUGUGAAAUCCUACAGCUUAACUGUAGAACUGCACUUGAAACUUCUAAUCUAGAGUAUGGGAGGGGGAGAUGGAAUUAGUGGUGUAGGAGUAAAAUCCGUAGAUAUCGCUAGGAAUACCUAAAGCGAAGGCGAUCUCCUGGAACAUUACUGACGCUAAGGCGUGAAAGCGUGGGGAGCAAACAGGAUUAGAUACCCCCGUAGUC
rnacentral:rRNA from 1 species